UACAGUUGUUCAACCAGUUACUAAUCUAGCUAAUUGUAACCAGUUGAACAACUGAACC
rnacentral:pre_miRNA from 1 species